CCCUAGCCCGGAUUGAAAUGGAAAUCCUUUUUGAACGCUUUGCAAAAGCGUUCAAAAAGAUUGGAAUGAAAAGCCGGAAACAGC
rnacentral:sRNA from 1 species